GACGAACGCUGGCGGCGUGCUUAACACAUGCAAGUCGAACGAAGAGCGAUGGAAGCUUGCUUCUAUCAAUCUUAGUGGCGAACGGGUGAGUAACGCGUAAUCAACCUGCCCUUCAGAGGGGGACAACAGUUGGAAACGACUGCUAAUACCGCAUACGAUCUAAUCUCGGCAUCGAGGAUAGAUGAAAGGUGGCCUCUACAUGUAAGCUAUCACUGAAGGAGGGGAUUGCGUCUGAUUAGCUAGUUGGAGGGGUAACGGCCCACCAAGGCGAUGAUCAGUAGCCGGUCUGAGAGGAUGAACGGCCACAUUGGGACUGAGACACGGCCCAGACUCCUACGGGAGGCAGCAGUGGGGAAUCUUCCACAAUGGACGAAAGUCUGACGGAGCAACGCCGCGUGAGUGAUGACGGCCUUCGGGUUGUAAAGCUCUGUUAAUCGGGACGAAAGGCCUUCUUGCGAAUAGUGAGAAGGAUUGACGGUACCGGAAGAGAAAGCCACGGCUAACUACGUG
rnacentral:rRNA from 1 species